rnacentral:rRNA from 1 species
UACGAAGGGUGCAAGCGUUAUUCGGAUUGAUUGGGCGUAAAGGGUGCGCAGACGGCGCGUUAAGUCGAUUGUUAAAUUUCCCGGCCUAACUGGGAGCAAGCGGUCGAAACUGGCGUGCUAGAGGGUGGAAGAGAGAAGUGGAAUUCUCGGAGUAGCGGUAAAAUGCGUAGAUCUCGAGGGGAACACCGAUGGCGAAGGCAGCUUCUUGGUCCAUUUCUGACGUUCAUGCACGAAAGCGCGGGUAGCAAACAGG